GUUAGUGGAGGUGGAGUAUUCUCAUCAUGAUUUGUGCUGGCUCCUCUCUCCUCUCUCUCUCUCAACCCCACUCAGUCUGAGCUCAGCAGCCCAAUUUCUCAAUUUCUCAAUUUCUCUCAUGUAUAAAGUCCCCACUGUCACUUGAAUACUCUCCCUUUGUCUGACUCUCUGUCUCCAUUCUAAGCAUUCUUCUUUUUUCUUUUUUCUCAUUCUUCUUCUUACUUUUUCUCCUUCUUCAUGUGAAGAAGAAGAAGAAGUGACUAGUACAAUGUCUGGGUACUCAUUUCUGAACGACCAGCUCUCAAAGCGGACCUCCAUUUUCGGUUUGCACUUGUGGGUUGUUCUGGGAAUUUGUGUAGGAGCAGCCAUUGUUCUGGUUCUCUUCCUCAUAUCACUCUGGUUCACUUCACGGCGCAACAGUAGUUCCUCGAAAGCCAAGACCUUUAAUCAGAAUUCAACCAUCCCGAACGUCUCUAAGGAGAUCCAAGAAAUCCGAAUCGACCAUGCUCGGAACCCAGUACCCGACCCGAAUCCCAUCCAGCACCAGAACCACCCCGACCCGGUUGCUGACUCGGAGCCCUUGGCCAGAGCCCAAGCCCUGCUUCUUCAGCCGGAGGAUCAUGAGAGCCCCGCUGGGGGUGGUGGCCGACAAAGAAUUCACAUUGAGAUUGGGAAGGACCAUCGGAUUUCGUACCCGGAGAAGGGAGGCGGGUCCUCGCAUGGAAGUGGUGAGGCUCGUUCUGGGGACCAGGGGCUGAUGGCUGUGCCUGAAGUUUCGCAUUUGGGUUGGGGCCAUUGGUACACUCUCAGAGAGCUUGAGGAUGCUACUAAUGGGUUUGCUGAUGAGAAUGUGAUUGGUGAAGGUGGCUAUGGAAUUGUGUACCGUGGUAUCUUUGAGGAUAAUCAUAUGGUUGCUGUCAAGAAUUUGCUCAAUAACAAGGGACAAGCUGAGAAGGAGUUUAAGGUCGAAGUUGAAGCAAUUGGCCGUGUUCGCCAUAAGAAUUUAGUAAGGUUGCUUGGUUAUUGUGCUGAAGGAGCUCAUAGGAUGCUUGUAUAUGAGUAUGUUGACAAUGGAAAUUUGGAACAAUGGCUUCAUGGAGACGUUGGGCCAACCAGCCCUCUUACGUGGGAAAUUCGUAUGAAUAUAAUACUUGGGACAGCGAAAGGGUUGACAUACUUGCAUGAGGGGCUUGAGCCCAAGGUCGUUCACCGUGAUAUAAAGUCUAGCAACAUCUUACUUGAUAAGCAGUGGAAUUCAAAAGUAUCUGACUUUGGCUUAGCAAAGCUCCUGGGCUCAGAAAGGAGUUAUGUGACAACUCGUGUGAUGGGAACAUUCGGAUAUGUAGCUCCAGAAUAUGCUAGUACUGGUAUGUUGAAUGAAAGAAGUGAUGUUUAUAGUUUCGGAAUUCUCAUAAUGGAGAUAAUUUCUGGGAGAAACCCAGUGGACUAUAGCCGCCCUCAAGGAGAGGUGAACCUAGUUGAGUGGCUUAAAGCAAUGGUUACAAAUCGAACUGCUGAGGGAGUUUUGGAUCCUAGGUUACCAGAGAAACCUUCUUCAAGGGCACUGAAGCGUGCUCUUUUGGUUGCCUUGCGUUGUGUGGACCCGAAUGCUCAAAAGAGGCCAAAAAUGGGGCAUGUGGUACAUAUGCUUGAAGCCGAUGAGUUCCCUUUCCGAGAUGACCGCAGGGCUGGAAGAGAAUAUGGACGGUCACCGCAUGAUGCUUCAAGGAUGGACAAGCGCGUGAUUGAAUCAGGUGAUAGUAGUGGGUAUGAGAGUGGUGCCCAAACUAACCAGUCAUUAUGGAGAAAGCGAGAAUUGGAAGAAGAGCAUUAGCCUCACCAGUCACCAGUUUCACAAGUAAGAAAAAUGCAGAUAGUAAAGAGAAACAGCACAUUAAAAAAAAGGACUUGUCUUCCAUGGGGCUCUACCUCUCGCAGCUGUACAUUGUCGCCUGGUUUUUUCUUUUUACUGAAAAGAAUAAUUUAAGAUAGUAUCAUUAGCUCGCAUGAUUUAUGCGUUUGACUGUCAGAGACCACCGACACGGCAAAUCGGGGAGAAAGUAACUAAAGGCAACGACUGCCCGCGAAGGUUGAAUGUCUCUGAACGAAACAUCGUAUGACAAAAAAGAGCAAGCCUUGCCUUUAAUUAUAGGCUACUGUUACUUUAGAAAAGGAAAAGAUUGAAGCUUUUUCAUGGUAUUAUUCAAGAAGAAAAAAGAUAUUCUACAAGAAUAUAAUUUCUCUUCCUUCUUUGGAUGGAUCAACAAAAGAAAAACAAAGAAGCUGAAUAAUUGAUAUGCUCUUCGUAUAUUUAGAAUCUAACUACCCAGAAAUCUUGUGU